rnacentral:tRNA from 1 species
GUUGGCUGUAAGCCUUAUUCGGCAGGGGUUGAUGAGCUGAUUUGUAAUCAGCCGGUCGCAAGUUCGAGUCUUGUCACCAGCU